rnacentral:rRNA from 1 species
GAUGAACGCUGGCGGCGUGCCUAAUACAUGCAAGUCGAGCGAACGGACCAGAGACUUGCUUCGCUGAUGUUAGCGGCGGACGGGUGAGUAACAUGUGUAUAACCUACCUAUAAGACGGGUAUAACUUCGAGAAACCGGCGCUUAUACCGGAUGAUAUUUUGAACCGCAUGGUUCAAAAGAGAAAGUCGGUCUUGCUGUCACUUAUAGAUGGAUCCGCGCUGCUUUAGCUAGUUGGUAAGGUAACGGCUUACCAAGGCAACGAUGCAUAGCCGACCGGAGAGGGUGAUCGGCCACACUGUAAGGGGGACACGGUCCAGACUCAUACGGGAAGCCGCAGUAGGGAAUCGGCGGCAAGGGGCGAAAGCCUGACGGAGCAAGGCGGAGUGAGUGACGAAGAUCUUCGGAUCGUAAAACUCGGUUAUUAGGGAAGAACAUAUGUGUAAGUAGCUGUGGCCAUCUUGACGGUACCUAAUCAGAAAGCCACGGCUAACUACGUG